GGGAGAGGAAGGGGAGGAGAGGGAGGCAUAAGGGAGGAGGAGGAGAAAGAGGAGAGGAAGGAGAGGGAGGAGGAGGGGAGGAGAGGGAGGAAGGAGAGGGGGGAGGAGGAGAGGGAGGAGAGGAGAGGGUGGUGUAAGGUAGGAGAGGAAGGAGAGGGAGGAGGAGGAGGGGUGUUUGAGCUGGAGAUGAGGAAAACAAGGAGCCCUCACAAACUUUCACGUAAACAGCAGCGCCACCAGUAAGGGACAUAAUGGCUCACUGUCGGACACCAGUUAGAGUCUGGGGCCGACUGGGGGCCAACGGGGGCCGGUCAGGGUGAGGGGUGAGGGGGGGGGGGGAGGGCAGCCCGGGACGCGUGUGGGGAUGGGAGUCAACAUGACGCUGAUUAGAAACUAUUCUCAUUGCAGCUCAGUCUUCAGGCAGGAGUCAGGACAGUCAGAGCACAGAGGCACACGCUGAACACACAGGCGGGGUACAUCCCAUGUUAUACGUGCAUAAAACAUGCAACGUACAGACAAAAACAACAGGGAACGUUCGGUUCAACAGACAGCAGCAUGUUGUGUAAUGUCACUGAGUGUGUGUGUGUGUGUGUUUGUGUUCCAGUGUGGCAGUGGGAUGUAGUGUGUGUUUGCUUGUGUGGGUGUGUUUGUGUGCGUGUGUGUGUGUAUGUGUGUGUUCUAAUCGGGCAGGGGGAUGUAGUGUGAAUAAUAUGUGUAUCUGCUUUUGUCUCUGUGUGUGUGUUGUAGUGGGGCAGGGGGAUGUGUGUGUGUGUGUGUGUGUGUGUGUGUGUGUGUGUGUGUGUGUGUGUGUGUGUGUGUGUGUGUGUGUGUGUGUGUGUGUGUGUGUGUGUGUGUGUGUUGGUUCAGCCUCUCCUGGUUUCCUGCAGGAAGCAGCUCCCUGACUGAGCUGCUGUUUCCCUGCAGCAGCUCAGUCAGGGGCUCCUUCUGGGACACAAUGGAGCGGGCCCCAGGGCCCCAAGAGAGGGUCCCUGUGUGUGGGUGUGGGGCAUAGGGCUAGGUGUGUGUGUGUGUGUG
ensembl:lncRNA